CCCGCUAUCGUGUAGCAAGGGCCCGUACCGUAAACCGACACAGGUGGAUGAGGAGAGGAUCCUAAGGCCGGCGGGAGAAGUGUUGUUAAGGAACUCGGCAAAAUGACUCCGUAACUUCGGGAGAAGGAGUGCUGCGCAAGCAGCCGCAGAGAAAUGGCCCAAGCAACUGUUUAGCAAAAACACAGGUCUAUGCGAAACCGAAAGGUGAGGUAUAUGGGCUGACGCCUGCCCGGUGCUGGAAGGUUAAGGGGAGAGCUUAGCGCGAGCGAAGGUUUGAACUUAAGCCCCAGUAAACGGCGGCCGUAACAAUAACGGUUCUAAGGUAGCGAAAUUCCUUGUCGGGUAAGUUCCGACCCGCACGAAAGGCGUGAUGAUUUGGGCACUGUCUCAACAACACACCCGGUGAAAUUGAAAUACCAGUGAAGAUGCUGGUUACCCGCGCCAGGACGGAAAAACCCCAUGGAGCUUUACUCCAGCCUGGUACUGGGAUUCGGUAUUGCAUGUACAGGAUAGGUGGGAGGCUAAGAACUCAUGGCGCUAGCCGUGAGGGAGCCGGUGUUGGGAUACCACCCCUGCAGUACUGGGUUUCUAACCUGCGCCCGUGACCCGGGCGGGGGACAAUGUCAGGCGGGGAGUUUGACUGGGGCGGUCGCCUCCGAAAGGGUAUCGGAGGCGCUCAAAGGUCUCCUCAGGAUGGUUGGAAACCAUCCAGAGAGUGCAAAGGCAGAAGGAGGCUUGACUGCGACACCGACGGGUGGAGCAGGUACGAAAGUAGGACUUAGUGAUCCGGUGGCAUAAAGUGGGAUUGCCAUCGCUCAACGGAUAAAAGCUACCCUGGGAUAACAGGCUUAUCACUCCCAAGAGUUCACAUCGACGGAGUGGUUUGGCACCUCGAUGUCGGCUCAUCGCAUCCUGGAGCUGGAGCAGGUUCCAAGGGUUGGGCUGUUCGCCCAUUAAAGCGGUACGCGAGCUGGGUUCAGAACGUCGUGAGACAGUUCGGUCCCUAUCCGGCGCGGGCGCAGGAUAUCUGAGAGGAGCUGUCCUUAGUACGAGAGGACCGGGAUGGACCGUCCGCUGGUGGACCGGUUGUCAUGCCAAUGGCACGGCCGGGUAGCCAAGACGGGAAGGGAUAAACGCUGAAGGCAUCUAAGCGUGAAGCCCCCCUCAAGAUGAGAUAUCCAUACUCGAAAGAGUGAGAGACCCCUUAGAGACGAUGAGGUAGAUAGGGCAGAGAUGGAAGUGCAGCGAUGCAUGGAGUUGACUGUUACUAAUCGGUCGAAAGCUUGACC
rnacentral:rRNA from 1 species